rnacentral:lncRNA from 1 species
AUUUUGUCAUAAACCAGCCAGUUAUUUUAUGCUGGUCAUUCAUCUUGACUACAAAGUAGAAUAGUCAAGCUGUCAUUCCAAAUAGAAAACUUUUUACUUCAAUCAGAAUUAAGCCUUAACCUGGAAAGUUGGUUUCUUCCUUACAUUUUCCCAAUCUCCUACUCUAUUCUUAAACAUGCUAGUUUCACUCAGUUGGGUAUACAAGCCUUUGGGCUUUAUGUUGUAUGUUACUAACCACCUUUUACCAUAUUUAUCUUUUGGCAUCAUUCUGGGACAUUGCUAAAUUAAAAAAGAAAUUGUUUCCACUUUUUUCUGGAGAUGUUCAACUAAAGGUUGUUUUGUUUUGUUUUUUGUUUUGAGACAGUCUCACCCUGACGCUCAGGCUGGAGUGCAGUGGUGCAACCUCGGCUCACUGCAACCUCCACCUCCCGGGCUCAAGCCAUUCUCCUGCCUCAGCCUCCCAAGCAGCUGGGAUUACAGGCACCCGCCACCACGCCCAGCUAAUUUUUUUGUAUUUUGAGUAGAGACCGGGUUUCACCAUAUUGGCCAGUCUCGUCUGGAACUCCUGACCUCAGAUGAUCCGCCCGCCUCAGCCUCCCAAAGUGCUGGGAUUACAGGCAUGAGCCACCACGCCCAGCGUCCAACCCACUGUUGGAUGAAACUUGCUGCACGUCAUACAUUUUGCUGUUGGCAAACAAGUCUGAAUGUUGAUUUGAAGUUUGGUAGUUUAUUACUAUCUAUUGGCAGCAAAGACUGUUUAUUGGUAUACUACAAUAUGAUUUAACUUUUAUUUUGGGGAUAAAUAGUAGAAAAAAGUGAAACAGAAUGAAGGCAGGUGUUUUUUAUUCUAAUGAUGGAAUAAUACAGAGAUACUGGACGAUCUCUAGCAGUUAAUUAUUGUGACCCAUAUAAAAUUAUACAGGUCACAGUAUAAUUCUCUAUUACCGUUUUUACACCAGUAAGUCUUAGAUAAACUAAGCAUGCUUAUGAAUUAUGUAUACAGUUAGAAUGCAUUAUUUUUACAGAGGAACAAUUGCUUGUAUGUACUAACACUGUUCUCUUGGCUUGCCUCAAGUUCUACUCAUUAUUUUAUAUAAAAUACUAUUAGGCUGGGCACGGUGGCUCACGCCUAUAAUCCCAGCACUUUGGGAGGUGGAGGCUGGCGGAUUACUUGAAGCCAGGAGUUCGAGACCAGCCUGGCCAAAAUGGUGAAACCCCAUCUCUAUAAAAAUACAAAAAUUAGCCAGGUGUCAUGAUACAUGCCUGUAAUCCCAGCUUCUUGGGAGGCUGAGGCACGGGAAUCGCUUGAACCCGGGAAGCACAGGUUGCAGUGAGCCAAGAUCAUGCCACUGCACCCCCAGCCUGGGUGACAGAGUGCAACACUGUCUCACAAAACAAAACAAAAACAUCAGAUUCUGUUUGUGAUGCCUAGUUGCUUACAACCUAAACAGUGCAAUGCCUUAAGGAAAUGAAAAGGAGCCAUAAGUAGUCAUUUAUAUUUUUAUUUUGAAGUGUGCUUUUUCUAAACUCCCAGAUUGACAUGAUGGACUGUAAGUUAGUUUCUCUGUUUCUGUCUUUGUGCCUGUAGAGUGUACUUGGCACUUACAAAUUCCCAGUAUCCAGAAAGAUGAUCUGAUGAAAUCAAAUUGGAUGGAUCUUGGCAGACUGUGACACUCAAUUACAGCCUUCACUUUCAGUCAAAAACGGACACUUGGCAAGGAGGUGCCUGGUUGUUUCACUAAAUGUCACUUGUGUGUGUAAUAUUUUAAAGCUUUUUCCCCACAGGAAAUUCGGGUCAUAAAAUCCUGAAAAAUAAUUCUAGGUGGGAAAAGCAUUUUAGGAAAUGAGAGAUGUGGUGCUGCUUUUCUUCUCUCAGAGUGCUUUCUCAGCAGGACACUAGCCCUGCCUUUAAGAUGGGGAAGUUGGGGCAUGUGCCUCUGCUCUUACUGUCUGCAGCUCUGAAGGUAGGUGCUGUCCCACUCGGACAAUCGCCCAAGCAGCAGUGACCAUAGUUCUCUUCUAUGCAAGUCCCCAGGAGAAGGUAAACUGUGUGGAAUGGGGAUGUGUUCUGGUUGCUGCUGAAUCCCCUCUUCUUACCACAGUGCCUGGCACGUUGCACACACUCAAAUACGUAAUAAUGAACAUUUAUUGAAAGCAGCAGUUGAAGCUGACCAAUUUCUGGUACCUUGUCAUGUAAAUUUUAGAUGGUAAGGCGCAGAUGUUACUUUUUUUGCUUUUUUUCUUCAGCACUUGAUGAAAUUUCCCAAACAUGCAGAAAUGUUGAAAGACUUGUAUAGUGAACAUCUACGACCUAGAAUCUGCAGUAAUAUUAUGUUACAUUUGCUUUAUCACUUGAUAGAUGUUACUUUUAAUGAGACUUCAAGUUUGGUUUCUCUAAACAAAAUAUUCUAAAAUAACUGAACAACUUUAAUCAAUUUGUCUUAAGUUCUUUGGGGGAACUUGGGACAUUUGCUUUGUAACUGGAAUUGCAGCCCUCACGUUAAGCUAAUUUUAAACUUUGCAAAUUUGUUAUGCUGAAUUUCAGUCUUAUUUAUUUUGCCUGAAGGGGUAUUUUUUGUAAUGGAUUUAUUUGAAGGUCCUUGAUAAAUUGUGCAGAAUAUUCUCGUGUUCUUUUUGCACUUGAUAAAUUAUCUAAUUUCUGUGGUGAGAAUGUAAUUUGGGGCCUAUUUUGUUUAUACAAGCUUCCAGAAUUAUGUUCUCAGAGGGAUGAAAAGGUGUAAUUUAGCAUAUAGGUCACUAAAUUAGGAGCUAAGACACAUUUUCUCCUGACUGACCAUGGGUCAAUCAGUUUUGUCUUCGUGUCCUUUUCCUUGUAAAGUAGAAACUAGAAUUUGAAAUUUAAAUAUUAAAUAAUGGGUAACAUUCAUUAAUGUAUGACUCUAUUAAGAAAGACACUGUGAAUCCAGGGAGGAUUCUCAUAAUUCUGUAAACUGUAUGACAAGCUGUGGAAUGAAAUCUGACUUUUGAAAAUUGAAAGACAUCCAGUGGUCUUAUCACAAAGCCUGCUUUUCCUCAGAACUUAACUAUUGCCAUGGAAUUUGUAAGCAGUUAUCCUAAUCCAUCUGGACUCUGAAAAUGCAUCCUUUAUGAGAGGGAGUGAAUGCAAAGAUAAGGGUGGGGAAACACUAAUCAUGAAAAGAAUGAAAAUCAGUGUUCAGUUUUAAGAGCAGGUUGUAUUGAAGGAAGGGAUUAAAGGAAUUAUCCAGAUUUGAGGUGGCACAUCUUCCACCACUCCCUGCACCAUCAGCAUGCACGGAGCGCAUAAAACAAGCCCUGCUCCUAAUGGCAGUGAAACCUCGGAUGGCCUCCAUCAGGUCAAUACAACUGAAUUGCUGGGCUGACUUAAGAUUGAAGGACUCCAUUUUAGUAAGUAGAGAAGUGUGACCUUUCUCAACCCAGGUUGUGAAUGUGGAUUCACACUUAUCUCAAAAAGGCACCUGGAGUUUUAACUUUAUGUCAUGUCUCAGUACUGGUUGCAAGGUAUGACCAAAAGUGUUCCUUGAAUGGCACCUUUUUGAAUAUUAAUUUAGAAGAAAACAUGCCAGACUGACAUACUUACCCCCUCCGCACUGUUACUACUUCCUUACCAGCCCUAUGUACUGCAUCAAUGUCUACAAGAAAGCACUCUUCAUUAAAAUGAAAUAUAUAUAUU